GAAUCUUGGACAAUGGGCGCAAGCCUGAUCCAGCCAUGCCGCGUGAGUGAAGAAGGCCUUAGGGUUGUAAAGCUCUUUUGGCGGGGACGAAAAUGACGGUACCCGCAGAAUAAGCCCCGGCUAACUUCGUGCCAGCAGCCGCGGUAAUACGAAGGGGGCUAGCGUUGUUCGGAAUUACUGGGCGUAAAGCGCACGCAGGCGGAUCGAUAAGUCAGGGGUGAAAUCCCGGGGCUCAACCUCGGAAUUGCCUUUGAUACUGUCGAUCUCGAGUCCGGGAGAGGUGAGUGGAAUUCCUAGUGUAGAGGUGAAAUUCGUAGAUAUUAGGAAGAACACCAGUGGCGAAGGCGGCUCACUGGCCCGGUACUGACGCUCAGGUGCGAAAGCGUGAGGAGCAAACAGG
rnacentral:rRNA from 1 species